rnacentral:lncRNA from 1 species
GGCUGGUGGAAGAGACGAGGAUAAAGAUGCAGAAAUGGGGGGAAAGAUGUCUCAAGCAGAUAUUGGGGAAGGGAUAGUGCUUAGGGCACUAGUGGAGGGUUUGGCGUCCAGCUGCAUUUGGAAGAGAUGUUUGGGAAUUGACUUGAUGAUCCCCUGAGGAACUGGUGGUUAAAUUUUUAGUAAGCUGGAUCCACACUGUCCUGAAAGCCCACAUUCUCCUGGUCUGGAUGGUCCGUUAUCUAACUGUUUGGAUAACUGGGUGUGUGUCCCAGAGCUGCUGUUAGAUAGCUCUUUGAUCUUGUGGGGAAAAAAAAAAGUCCCUUCUGGUCUCUGAGCCUCCAUGUCCCUAUCUUGUGAAGUGGUGGAUUUGAACUCAAGAACCAGGGUCCUUUGCUCUUGCAGCAGUACUAACUUCUCAUGGGAAUAGAAGAAGUUCCUGCCAUUUUAGGUGAAGGUUUAAUGCCUCUGUUGUGCAGUUUUUGUCUUAGGGUGGGAGGGAGGCCAGCCUUCCUCCCCUCUGUGCUGGAGAGAGAGGUGAUUUGACCAGAAGAGUUAAUUAACGCCUCUGUAUUAUAUUUGCAAAUGUGUGUAAUGAAAUGGACUACUUCAUUACCAGGAUUCUAAGGGCCUCCUUCCAAAUGCUAUGAAAAACAUCUGUCUUUAUUAGCUGUAUAUAUAGCUGAACCUCAGCAACAUCAGGCAAUACUGCCCGUUUGUUGCUGGAAACUGAUGUGUCGUCAUUUGAAUGUGCAAGUCCACCCACUGGGCAUGGGCUGUGGAUCUGCCUAAGAGCCUAGUUCUCAGGAAAGAGGAUCAAACAGUGUAUUUGUGUUAAUAACCAUCGGUUGUUAACAGCCUCUAUCUGUGGAAGAAGAAUUUGCCUUCACCCCCGGAACUAUAAAAUUCAGCUCAGCAAAAUCGUAGAGUGCCUACUAUGUGUCAGACACCAAACAGGAAAAUGGUGACUAUGGAUAUCAGUUUGACUGAUCAAAGCCCAUAACCACAAUAAAAACACAAAACAGGAAACCAUGAUGAAUAUCUGGUGUGCAGCUAUUUGCAACACAAGGGGUGCAACACACCCCUAGAUGUGUGUGUGUGUGUGUGUGUGUAAUGACAGGCUGAACAGGGCAGGUUUUAUGGUGGGCACCCAGGGAGAAAAGCUGCACAAGUGAUGCUUUUACCUUGCUAUGGCUAUUCUGUUGAUCAAGAACAUUUAUGAUGGAUGAUCAAACACAACAGCAACAACCACACACACACACACACACACACACCUCUGUAGCAUUUUGGUGUAUACGUGUGGUCUUAAAUUAGGUGUUUGAUGCAAGCUGCAGGUAGUUUUCUGAAGUAGCGGGUCUCAGAGUGGGGUCCAGGGACCUUUGAAGUUGCCCGCAGUCACACAGGGCCUCCAGCUAGAAAGGCUGGCACUUGGCUUAGUGCUCUGCUGGUCCUGUCUUGAAAUUGGAAGCAACUUUUGAACAAGGGGACCCCAUUUUCAGUUUGUGCUGCAAAUUAUUUAGCUGGUCUUAGCUGCUUAAGAUCCUUUCAUGGGAUCCAUGAGCUCAAAGCUGUUUUAAUAAUGAUGAUGAUGAUCUUACGACUUUAUUUGCCUUUCGCACUCUUUCUCACGCUAGUACAUACACAGCGGAAUUUUCCAGAGGCUACAUGACAUUGCAUCUGUAUUGCAGCAGAUCGACUGCAGAAGCAGAUACUGAGCAUCCAGUGAUUUACUCGGCAGCCAGACAUUAAAGAGAUCUGCAGACUUGAAAAAUAAUGCUGCUCAGCUCACUGCAUAUAUUUGGCUUUUGGGAAAUUUAGCCAAUUUUCACAAAAAUAUGUUAUUGAUGUUAACAUGGUUUUUAAGCCAAUUAAUAAUUAUUUUAAUUUUUUCUCAGUUUUGUUUUUAAUAUAACAUAUCAACAGACACAACUCAUGAAAACCAAAAGUUCUGACAAUCAUCCGUAAGUUUUAAGAGUAUAAAGGGAUAGUGAAAUUUCUGAAAUUUCUGAAAGCCAUGCACAGCUCUAUAGGUACUUACUUCUAUCAGAGGAAAGAAACCAUUGAAGAAAUGUGACCAAAAUACAAUGUGUUUGUUUAUACUUGGACUAGCCAAGGGUUUUCCAGAGAAAUAGAACACACACCCACACAAAUUUAUCAUAGAAACUGGCCCUCGCAAUUAUGGAAGCCAAGUCAUCUUGCUGAAAGUAGUCAUGCAAGCUGAAGACCCGUGAAAGCCAGUGGUGUGAUUCGAUCUUGAAUCUGAAAGUCCAAGACCAGGAGCACCAAGGUCCAGAGGCGAGGAGAAGAUGGAUGUCCCAGCUCAAGCCCAGAGCAAAUUCUCCCUUCCUCUGCUUUUUUGGUCUGUCCACACCCUCACUGGAGCAGACGAGGCUCCACCGUGUUGGGGAGCAUCAUCCCUGUCCCUCAAGUUUACCCGUGCAAAUGUGAACCCCUCCCAGAACACCCUCAAAGACACACUCAGAAAUAAUAUUUUACCAGUUAGCUGGGCAUCUCUGAGCCCAGUCCCAGUGAUAGCUAAAAUUAACCAUCACUGGGGUCCAUUUAUGUGGGUAGAUCUAUGUCUAUCAAAAGAUGAGGCAAAGACACAGUCUUUUCCUUACCCUUGAACUUCUGCAGAAUUUCCCAACACGUCCUCUCACACAAAUCUCUUGUUGCUCCUUGUUUUUUCUUCUCUGGAGAAGUUUCAGUGUGGCAGAUGCUGGCUUACGUCUAGCCAUUGGAACUUUCCAGAACAGAACGGCCACCCAGAGAGGCAGGGGACACCUCUUCCCUGAGAAGUUUCAGGCAGGAGCCGCUUCUGGUGGAGGUGCUCGAGAGGAUUGCAGCAUGAGGCAGGGAGUUGGAGAAAGUGACUCUGAGGUCCCUUGCACGUCAGGAAUGGUAGGAGACAGGGGAGUCUCUCCCUGCCCUAGUCCACACUCACAGGGCUGAGGUAAUAGUGAUGGGGGGCAUAUCUUAAGAGGAAAAAAGAAAGGGGUGUGGGGGGGAGAGCGUGCGUGAUGAUACUCCGAAGUGCCCAAGCAGUGGAGCAGGGACUGGAGAUUCUGGCCUUGCACACAGGAACCGGAACUGGAACCGGGCACCGGCUCCAGCCUGAGAGCGAGACUUCCCCCCAGUGACAGACGCAAGGGAGAGCCAGGCGGGCAGGGCAGGGUGGGAAUGGCAAUUGCAUGGCUCAUUCUUAUGACUCUGACUCACUGAGACUGACAUUUUUUUAGGUCACUGAUCCUUCCCUUCCCCUUUUAAGGCCUCUUUCCUCCACUUUUAGCACCAAAGUGCUGACGUGCUCCCCCCCCCUUAACAACUUGUCUUUUGGAACUCCAUCUUGGAAUGGAGUGCUAAGGUGCGUGGCUGGUCAGAGUUGAACCCGCCACCCUUGGAAAAGAAACACGAGGAUCCUGGAGGCAGUAUCUUCACCCCCUGGGGACAGAUCUCCCCAGCAGGAAAUUUUACACACUGGGUAAGCAGAGUAGACAUUUUCGGGGUAAGAACAUUUUUUUUCUAGAACUUCUCAAACCAUGUCUGCUGUUUUUAUGGGACCAUCAGUGAUGCAUCCCUUCCUCUCUCCACUUGUCUUCCCUUCUCUUUUUUUUUUUUUUUUUUUUUUUUNGAAGCUGUAGCUGCUGGGCCCAGCCACAGUCACAGCAACACAGGAUCCGAGCCGCACCUGCGACCUACACCACAGCUCACGGUAAUGCCGGAUCCUUAACCCACUGAGCAAGGCCAGGGAUCAAGCCCAAAACCUCAUGGUUCCUAGUCGGAUUCAUUAACCGUGGAGUCACGACGGGAACUCCAUGUCUUUCCUUCUUCAUUUCUACUUUUCCUUUGUUCUUCUAUAAGAGCUUUUACUGGAGUUCAUGUAGUGGUUCAGAAGGUUAAGAACCUGACAUAGUGAGGAUGCAGGUUUUAUCCCUGGCCUCACUCAGUGGGUUAAGGAUCCGGCAUUGCUGCAAGCCGCAGUGUAGGUCCCAGAUAUACCUCAAAUCUGAUGCUGCCAUGGCUGUGGGGUAGGCGGGCAGCUGCACCUCUGAUUUGACCCUUAGCAUAGAAACUUCAAUUUGCCAUCAUUUUCUAGCUUGUGAGCAGAAACAGGUGAACUGAUGAUCCCUGCAACUCAUUGAGGCAAAUGCUCUAGGGGAGGGUGUGCCAAGUGCUAGGGCAGGGCCCCCUGGGGUGGAGGGGAAGGAGGUUCCUGGCCUGGCCCCUGGAGGGGAAGUGGGUGUUUAUGAGGAGGCGUACGGGGCACUCUGGCCCAGAGAGGUUAAGCAAUGUGCCCAAGUUCACAAUGGUAUGUUGCUGGACCAGCGUUGAAAUCUGUUUUGGCUCCAUUACCUGCACCCUUGACCUGAAUGCAGUCCUGCCUUUCCAAAAAUGCAAGCAGCUUAGAGUGACUUGGAAGAGGGCGAGAUGGGUGAAAAGAAAGAGUGGUUGGGAAUGAGGCUGUGGUCAAGCCUGCGUAUAGCAUCCCUUUAGGUAUACCGGUAAAUAGGAAAAGGGGGCAAACCUUUAUGGAGCAAAGUCGACCCCAAUGUUUUCAGGUGCUGCUCAUUUAUGUUCAUGUCACAGGUUAUUUAGCAUGUAUUCAUUGUCCCUGCACCAGGACAGACAUCACUCCUGCCCUGUUUUGGAGCUCCCAGCUGUCCAGCACAGCUGGGGGCAGACUUACUGCGCUAAGCAGGAUUCACUGUUAAUUGUUCAACAUUAUUUCUACAGAUGCUGUGGUUGCAGCUUCUGGCUGCUUCCUUCCAAGACCUUUUGCCCCUUCUUCUAGCAAACAACCUGACUCACGUCUUUUCUCUCCUCCUUUCCUUCCUCCGGCUUCUCCAGUCAGAGGUGCAGAAGGGCUGUGAACUGGCCCUUGGCAGGUUUCCUGCAAAGAGAGAAGGAAGGGGCCCGGCUCAAUAAACAGGAGCUUACCCUUCUUGGCCGGGUUCGCUUGACAAAGAGAUUUGGUUCCUUCACCUACCAGCCUUUACCUGGCUGGUGCUGGCUGAGAGUUUAUUCCUUCAGAAACAGCAGGGGCCGAGGGAGAAUGGCCCACCCCUCCCGCAAGAAUGCAAAGAAACAAUCGGCUAUUAAUUUCCAGUAGGAUGAACAGGAACCCUUUCAGCCAGGAAAUCUAAAUUGAACAAUGAUUAAGUCAUUCAAGCUCUCUGGUCCCUGGUCCCUGAGUUCUUGGAGAGCAUUUUAGCCACUGGUCUUGGGAAGUUAUUUCACUUUUUUUUUUCUUUUUCCUUUUUAGGGCCACACCUGUGGCGUAUGGAUGUUCCCGGGCUAGGGGCUGAAUCAGAGCCACACCACAGCCUCAGAACGCCAGAUCUGAGCCGCAUCUGCAGCUUGCGGUGAUGUCAGAUCCUUAACCCACUGAGCGAGGCCAGGGAUGGAACCGCAUCCUCAUAUGUACUAGUCUGGUUUUUAACUUGCUGAGCCACAUCAGGAACUCUGGGGAUUUCACUUUUAAAUGAGGUGUCUGCUUGCUCCCAUAGGCAGCACCAUGUAGGCCUUAAGCCUAAGGAGUAGGGAGCCUUAAGCCUAAGGAGUAGGUUUAAGUCCCAGCCCUACCACUUGCUGUGUGACUUGGGGCAAGUUACUAAACUCUCUGAGCCUCAGUUGUCUCUUCUAUGAAAUGUAAAUAAUAAUAGUACCAGCCUCAUACUGCUGAUGAUAUUUGUGAUAUGCUUGGAACUAUGUAAACACUUUUAAGAGGUAAAUUUAUUAAAUAAAUGUAUUUAAUUAUCCAGCUGUGGGUGGUACUUGCUUCUGUCUUUUCUUUCUCUUGGGAUGCCUGUCAUUGGACAGAGGGAAAAGAUUUAGCAAAGAGGCUAAAAAGCAGAGAUUUGGGGGUCAAACUGCCUCAGUUCAAACCCUGACUCCACCAGGAGUGGAUGUGAUCUAAUCUCUCCGCUCCUCCGUUUCCUCCUCUGUAAAAUGGGUUUAUAAUUGUACUUACUGCCUAGGAUGAUCGUGGGGAAUAAGCCAUGUCAUGUUCUCAGUGUAAUGAGUGGCAGAUAGGAAAUGCUCACUAAAUUUUAGCUGUUGUUUUCAGGCACUC